rnacentral:rRNA from 1 species
UACGUAGGGUGCGAGCGGUAAUCGGAAUUACUGGGCGUAAAGUGUGCGCCGGCGGUUAUGUAAGACAGAGGUGAAAACCCCGGGCUCAACCUGGGAACUGCCUUUGUGACUGCAUGACUAGAGUACGGCAGAGGGGGAUUGAAUUCCGCGUGUAGCAGUGAAAUGCGUAGAUAUGCGGAGGAACACCGAUGGCGAAGGCAAUCCCCUGGGCCUGUACUGAAGCUCAUGCACGAAAGCGUGGGGAGCAAAUAGG